UCGAGGAUCUUUGGCAAUGAGCGCAAGCUUGACCAAGCGACGCCGCGUGUGCGAUGAAGGCCUUCGGGUUGUAAAGCACUGUCGAGGGGGAUCAAGGGAAACUUGAGUGAUCCCUGGAGGAAGCACGGGCUAAGUUCGUGCCAGCAGCCGCGGUAAGACGAACCGUGCGAACGUUGUUCGGAAUCACUGGGCUUAAAGGGCGCGUAGGCGGCUUGCCAAGUCAGGGGUGAAAUCUUUCGGCUCAACCGGAAAAGUGCCUUUGAUACUGGCAAGCUCGAGGGAGGUAGGGGUAUGUGGAACUUCCGGUGGAGCGGUGAAAUGCGUUGAUAUCGGAAGGAACGCCGGUGGCGAAAGCGACGUACUGGACCUCUUCUGACGCUGAGGCGCGAAAGCUAGGGGAGCAAACGGGAUUAGAUACCCCCGUAGUCC
rnacentral:rRNA from 1 species